rnacentral:rRNA from 1 species
UACGGAGGGUGCGAGCGUUGUCCGGAAUCACUGGGCGUAAAGGGCGCGUAGGCGGCCUGAUAAGUAGGGGGUGAAAUCCUGCGGCUUAACCGCAGGGCUGCCUUCUAAACUGUCAGGCUCGAGCACAGUAGAGGCAGGUGGAAUUCCCGGUGUAGCGGUGGAAUGCGUAGAGAUCGGGAAGAACAUCGGUGGCGAAGGCGGCCUGCUGGGCUGUUGCUGACGCUGAGGCGCGACAGCGUGGGGAGCAAACAGG